GACGAACGCCGGCGGCGUGCUUAACACAUGCAAGUCGAGCGGUAAGGCCCUUUCGGGGGUACACGAGCGGCGAACGGGUGAGUAACACGUGGGUGACCUGCCCUCAGCUCUGGGAUAAGCCUGGGAAACCGGGUCUAAUACUGGAUAUGACUCCAUGACGCAUGUUGUGGGGUGGAAAGCCUUGUGCGGCUGAGGAUGGGCCCGCGGCCUAUCAGCUUGUUGGUGGGGUGAUGGCCUACCAAGGCGACGACGGGUAGCCGGCCUGAGAGGGCGACCGGCCACACUGGGACUGAGACACGGCCCAGACUCCUAC
rnacentral:rRNA from 1 species